GACGAACGCUGGCGGCGUGCUUAACACAUGCAAGUCGAGCGGUAAGGCUCCUUCGGGAGUACCCGAGCGGCGAACGGGUGAGUAACACGUGAGUAAUCUGCCCUUCACUUCGGGAUAACCACCGGAAACGGUGGCUAAUACCGAAUACGACCAGUCUUCGCAUGAGGUGCUGGUGGAAAGUCUUUUCGGUGAAGGAUGUGCUCGCGGCCUAUCAGCUUGUUGGUGGGGUAAUGGCCUACCAAGGCUUCGACGGGUAGCCGGCCUGAGAGGGUGAACGGCCACACUGGGACUGAGACACGGCCAAGACUCCUACGGGAGGCAGCAGUGGGGAAUAUUGGACAAUGGGCGAAAGCCUGAUCCAGCAACGCCGCGUGAGGGAUGACGGCCUUCGGGUUGUAAACCUCGUUCAGUACCGACGAAGCGCCCUGUCGGGUGGUGACGGUAGGUACAGAAGAAGGACCGGCCAACUACGUG
rnacentral:rRNA from 1 species